rnacentral:rRNA from 1 species
UAGGGAAUCUUCGGCAAUGGACGAAAGUCUGACCGAGCAACGCCGCGUGAGUGAAGAAGGUUUUCGGAUCGUAAAACUCUGUUGUUAGAGAAGAACAAGGACGUUAGUAACUGAACGUCCCCUGACGGUAUCUAACCAGAAAGCCACGGCUAACUACGUGCCAGCAGCCGCGGUAAUACGUAGGUGGCGAGCGUUGUCCGGAUUUAUUGGGCGUAAAGCGAGCGCAGGCGGUUUCUUAAGUCUGGUGUGAAAGCCCCCGGCUCAACCGGGGAGGGUCAUUAGAAACUGGGAGACUUGAGUGCAGGAGAGGAGAGUGGAAUUCCAUGUGUAGCGGUGAAAUGCGUAGAUAUAUGGAGGAACACCAGUGGCGAAGGCGGCUCUCUGGUCUGUAACUGACGCUGAGGCUCGAAAGCGUGGGGAGCAAACAGG